GGUCAACGGCAGACUGCCCUUUUUGAAAGGUUCAUCGCAUGUGGUAGAAGCAAAGAUAAUGUUCUUCAAUUGAUGUGCCCUUUCUUAUGCUUAUUCAUGGAGCGUACAGAGUGGAUGAGUUGUUCUCAGUUCCGCGAAACUUAGUGGGGCUUGUUAGCGAUACCGUGACGACAAUAAUUUCUCGCUGCAGGGAUACGGGGAAGUCUCCAGGGUGAACCAGUUCUAGACCGGCUUCAAUGCACUACCAAGUGCCUCAUCAAACUGCUGUGAGGAAUUCGAUUUCAAAGCACUCAUUCAAAUAGUUAAAGUUACAGGUUCAUGGGACUGAGACCACUAGUGCUGAAAAUUUUA